rnacentral:rRNA from 1 species
UGGGGAAUAUUGCACAAUGGGCGGAAGCCUGAUGCAGCGACGCCGCGUGGGGGAUGAAGGCCUUCGGGUUGUAAACCCCUUUCGACAGGGACGAAGCUUUUGUGACGGUACCUGUAUAAGAAGCACCGGCUAACUACGUGCCAGCAGCCGCGGUAAUACGUAGGGUGCGAGCGUUGUCCGGAAUUACUGGGCGUAAAGAGCUCGUAGGUGGUUUGUCGCGUCGUCUGUGAAAUUCCGGGGCUUAACUCCGGGCGUGCAGGCGAUACGGGCUGACUUGAGUGCUGUAGGGGAGACUGGAAUUCCUGGUGUAGCGGUGAAAUGCGCAGAUAUCAGGAGGAACACCGAUGGCGAAGGCAGGUCUCUGGGCAGUAACUGACGCUGAGGAGCGAAAGCAUGGGUAGCGAACAGGAUUAGAUACCCUGGUAGUCCAUGCCGUAAACGGUGGGCGCUAGGUGUAGGGGGCUUCCACGUCUUCUGUGCCGUAGCUAACGCAUUAAGCGCCCCGCCUGGGGAGUACGGCCGCAAGGUUG